rnacentral:lncRNA from 1 species
AUGGAAGCGUUUUAUACGGAAGUCAAGCAUUACCUCAAUCUGAACACGUAUCACAGCCUAACAACAACCGCCCAAAACCCAGAGAGCAGGAAGGCCAACAUUAGGAGGGUCUCAAAGACCUACCUUCUGAAAGGCGUCACUACAUGGUGUAGAGUAUCCGCCAACUACAGAGCAGAGUUCUACACCAUGUACAGUAUUGGGACCUGCAUGCAGUGGUGUAGUCUACGUGAUACGCAGGUGAAAUCAUCCAUUGAUUGUCGGUGCUAA